rnacentral:rRNA from 1 species
GAUGAACGCUGGCGGCGUGCUUAACACAUGCAAGUCGAACGGUGAAGGCGGAGCUUGCUCUGCUGGAUCAGUGGCGAACGGGUGAGUAACACGUGAGCAAUCUGCCCCUGACUCUGGGAUAAGCGCUGGAAACGGCGUCUAAUACUGGAUACGAGCUGCGAAGGCAUCUUCAGCAGCUGGAAAUAACUUCGGUCAGGGAUGAGCUCGCGGCCUAUCAGCUUGUUGGUGAGGUAACGGCUCACCAAGGCAUCGACGGGUAGCCGGCCUGAGAGGGUGACCGGCCACACUGGGACUGAGACACGGCCCAGACUCCUACGGGAGGCAGCAGUGGGGAAUAUUGCACAAUGGGCGAAAGCCUGAUGCAGCAACGCCGCGUGAGGGACGACGGCCUUCGGGUUGUAAACCUCUUUUAGCAGGGAAGAAGCGAAAGUGACGGUACCUGCAGAAAAAGCGCCGGCUAACUACGUG